rnacentral:misc_RNA from 1 species
ACGGACGUCCAUGACUAUCAGGUGAAAAUGCGCAAUGUUCUCAAAUUCUUGGAGAACGGCGACAAGGUCAAGGUGACCCUGCGUUUCCGUGGUCGCGAGAUGGCGCACCAGGAUCUUGGCCGCGACCUGCUGCAACGCGUGUCCGAAGACGUCAAGGAAAUCGGCAAGGUCGAAAACAUGCCCAAGAUGGAAGGCCGUCAGAUGGUCAUGAUGAUCGGGCCGCUGCCGAAAUGAUCGGCGCCUAACCCAGACGACAAGAACCCGCCGCAGCCCGGCGGGUUUUUUUGUCGUGAUCUUAACGAAUAGGAGACCGGCAUGUGGGACAAACGAUAUGCGCA